rnacentral:rRNA from 1 species
GACGAACGCUGGCGGCGCGCUUAACACAUGCCAGUCGAACGGAAAGGCCUGCUUUCCCUUGUGGAUUGCGGGUACUCGAGUGGCGAACGGGUGAGUAACACGUGAGUGAUCUGCCCCCAACUUGGGUAUAAGCCUGGGAAACUGGGUCUAAUUCCCGAUAGGACUGCAGGGUGGUGCCUGUGGUGGAAAACGAUUUUCUAGUGGUUGGGGAUGAGCUCGCGGCCUAUCAGCUUGUUGGUGGGGUAAUGGCCUACCAAGGCGGCGACGGGUAGCCGGCCUGAGAGGGUGGACGGGCACAUUGGGACUGAGAUACGGCCCAGACUCCGACGGGAGGCAGCAGUGGGGAAUAUUGCACAAUGGGCGGAAGCCUGAUGCAGCGACGCCGCGUGGGGGAUGACGGCCUUCGGGUUGUAAACUCCUUUCGACCGCGAGGAAGCCACCUGGUUGGAAGGGUGGUGACGGUAGUGGGAGAAGAAGCACCGGCUAACUACG